rnacentral:misc_RNA from 1 species
UUUCUCUUCCCCACUUCCCUCUUCCUCCUGGCAAAAGAUGGACUUAUGUACUAAAGUACUACUCUUCCCUCCCACAAAAUUUACAAAAGUUUCUACUUCUUAGAUUUGGACCCCACAACAAACCUCAGUUAAUCAACAAAUAAAAUUGAAUUCUUUUAAAAGAAAAAGUAAUAUGAUCAUCAACCAGAUAAAACCUCUAAUUGUCUUGUUCUAGCAAGCUGCAGCUUAAAGUUUGAACUAAACGGGGAAAAAAAAAAAAUUCUUUACUUAAUUCUCAAGUGGCAUAUUAACAUGCUUUAUUGAACUCAUAAUUCUAAAUUUACCUAAGAAAUAUCCACUCCACCUUUACAAAGACCUAGUACAUUCAUGAAGCUUAUACAACAAACUGCAGU